AUGUAGAAAAAGAAAUAAAAGGAGAUAAAACUGAAAUAAUUAUAAGAUGGAAACACUCAAGUGCUUAUUAUUCGAAUCAACAGCUUCAACAUUACGUUUUCGUUUAAAGUUGCUUAACCAAAAUGGGGGCAAAAUCGUGACAUUAUAGUUGAGCGUUUCUGAUACUAGUUCAUGCUUGACAAAAUUGUAAAAGCUGGAAUAUCAUAAUAUUGCGCUAAUGAACAUUGGAAACAAAAUAUAAUAAACAUUGGAAACAUACACAAAUAAGCAUUGGAAGCAAAAUAUUAUCACAGAAGGAAGCUAUAUUUAAAGUUUUUAGAUAGUGAGCUACUACAACUUUAGCUAGCUUUAUAUGAUGAUUUUGAUAUGACUAUACUCUUCGUAAUUAUGAUUGGCGUCCCAAGGUCACAUUUUCUGCCUUCGUCGCCUUGGUAACUAUGUGACAGGCAGCAACACUGCUCUUCUUAUUCACACGGCAGUUAAGGAGUAUCCAUAACUUAAAACUGCAUAUUAUUAUGAUAUUUUUAUAAAAAUAACGUACCGGCGAAAGGGUAAAGCGAGAUUUGUGGAUACUAUGGUAACUGAGAAGGGAAAUUGCGCAACCUUGAAAUGCAUAUUCCAUUUACAAAGAAUAUAGGACACGAUAGUCAAAUAUUUAUAUUCCAAUUUUCAUAUCUUUGUUUUGCAGGGCAAUGUUACUCCAUGAUGCAUCGGAAAAACGAGCUAAUUUUGUCCACUUCUUAUCAAGUAAAAAAGUCCCGAAAGCUCAAGGUGAAAAUGCAUAACGAAAGUACAAAACAUUAAAAUGAAUGAGACAAUUGAGCUUUCAACCGUGAGACCAAUGCAUUUGGGAAAUUUCUUUUUUUUUCUUUUUUUUAAAUAAAUAAUUAAAAGCAUACAUUGCAAAUAUUGUAAUUCUAUCUGAGAAACAUAGAGAAAUGGAAUGAGAUUCGUUUCGUAAAAAACUGGAUGAAAAGUCCGUCAGUUAUCUAACCAACGUUGUUUUCUAAAGCUCCACCUUCAAGUGAACGAUUUGGUGAAUUCCGCUUGAAGAAGAUAUCUUAAGAUAUUUUCAAACAACGUAACAUCAACAUUUGUGACUGUACUUGAGAAACAUAGAGAAAUUGAACGUGAUUAUUUUUACUAAAAAACUGGAGGAAAAGUCAGCCAGUUGUCUGACCAACGUUGUUCUUGAACUCUACCUCCGAAGAAACAAUCAGGCGAAUUCCUUUUGAAAAUGUUUCAAAGCUGCACGCUAUAUGGACCGUUAGUGGGAUGCCAGGGAUCAUUUGGAUUCAUAGACUAUCGCUACAUCUGUUUCUCUUGUUUGCUAUGAAUUUUUCUCUCUAAAUGGUUCUUUGUAUUUGUUGCUGUGGUUUUCUUUUUAUGUCAUCAUUAGAAAUAAAACAAAAUUCUAUUUA